GAAGAAGGAUAUUGAUAAUUCCUCUUAAGUCUGACCAACCAGUUUCUGCUAAAAUUUCUGAGGGCUUUUUCUCAACACAUACAAAUAAAUAAUUAUAAAAUAACUGCACAUCUCCCACCUGCCUGUAUCCUUAGUGAAAACAGACAUGCAAACCGGUGACUUAGGUGAUUAAAAAUUCCAUUACUAAUGGAAAAUUAAAUGAGCUCAGUGAAACUCUCUUACCUGUGUAGUCUCUUGAGUUUCUCUUUCUAUUUCAUGCUAAAUUACAAUCAAGCCUUGGCUACCUAACCUCAGAGAAUGAGUCAUUUUGAGAAGUUGAGUAUUUUUCUAGAAAAUGUUGCUGGCAUAUAGGGUGUUCUGUCACAAUAAGAAAAAUAUUUAUAUUCUUUCACUAGAUAAGUAGUCUAUGUUUACUGUAAUAAAUUUGGAAUGUAUAAAAAAGCAGAAUUAAAAAUAACAAAUUUCCUCCAAGCAAAGACAUAACAUUUUGGUUAAUAGUCUUCUUGUGUUCUAUCAUAGAAUUAUUUAAAACAUAGAAAACUAAUUCUAGUUUUCUCUCAACUAUCUUAACAUACAGUUUAAUGUAGGCUUUGGGUAUUCUAUAGCCUACUGGUGAAAUAAGACAGCUAUCUUAAGUACUUAUUUACUGAAGAAUUUUCCUCUCAUUUAAUGGCUUAAAUAAGUGAAUAUUUGAUGAGAAUAUUUGUAUUGCAUAUGCUGAUGUUGCCCAAAAAGUGGCUUUCUUGACAAAGUCCCCAAAGACAGCCUGGUUUGGGGUUGUUUUGCCUGUUUGUUCUGAAGGUGGCAUGAAGCAUGUUCAAAUUCAUGACCUCUGGGGCAGCAGAACAGAGGGCUGGUCUGCAUAAUUAACCAGUGAAUCAAGGGCUUCAGCAGCAUUCUCCCAAAGGUUUUGUCCCUCUCCAGAAAUGAUCUUCUUCUUUGUGGCAAACAGGGCCCUUUGAUGUGUCAGCAGCAUUCAAAGCCCAGGCGGUGACUUCUGCAUCAUUAACACAUUUGUGCUUCCUUUGUCACUUUGGACCCAGGCUUCCAUCUCUUUUACCCGAAGUUUUCCUGAGGCUUAAAAGAACUCUGGCCCUCACUCUUUCCAAAGUGUGUCCUAGUAUGUUUGGGAAAUGACUUAUUCUCAAGGCAAAAAAAAAAAUAAUAAUAAUAAUAAUAAUUUUGCUGACUUGGUUUCAGACUGAGAUUUUUCUCUAAACUGUUCUCAGCAUUUGGUUUGAAUAAAAUACCAGGCAUAAGCAAUAUUUUAAAUUAUAUAGUCCUUGUAACAAUGAAGUGGAAAUUCCUGAAUAUCACAUGCCUGAUAAAUCUUUCUCAUUAAAUCUCAUAUGCAGUAAAAUUUCCUGUCUUGAAUACAUGUUUUCUAUAGGCUCAUCCCAAGGAUCUAAUAUUCGGUGGCAGGGAGAUAGAAAUAAUGUUUGCAGAUACCACUGUAUUUCCUCUGGGUGAGCAGAAUAAUUGCCUAAAAACAAAAUGGUUUUGUUACAUGGAAGUAAAGCCUGUGGUUCUGAAAAGAUCCCUCAUUAUAUAUAAAUAAAAAUGACAGGAGGAGGUUGGGUGUGACGAGAGAGGCUAUUUUUGAUUUUCCAAGCAUUAUUUGUACAGCAUAAGCAACAGGUGAUAUUCUAGAAUGCUUUAGAACCAUGUCAUGUAAAGUUGCAAAUCUUAUACUAUCAGCUUAUGCUUACUCUGUUUUAAUUCAGGUAAACUAGUAUCCGUAUAUAUAGUUACAUGUUAAAUUAGGCCAACUUUAUAUAACUCUAUCAAGAAUUACAGCUUGAGCCUAGGUUUGCUUCAUUCUCAGAUGCAGGCAAGCCAGAAGAGGAGAGUCCAGGACCAGUAAAUCAGGUCAGUAAAUGCACUAUUCUGUCAGGGGCCAAGUUACCACUGAAGAGGUAAGACAAGUGAUGGUUGAGGAUCAUAAAUGUGAUUCAAGGACAGCAGAAAUUACCAAGAAGAAAGGGAAAUGUCUGUCAGAUGUGGCACCAAUCUCUUAGUUUCCCCUUAGUAAUACUCCACUGAGAGUAGUUAGAGAAGCUAGUGGGCCAUUGAGAUGGCAGGGUGCCAGCAGCAUUUGGACCCACAGCUUCUGCAACAUUCAAUGCCAGGGCCUGCAGCUGUGGUGGGUGCAGCAGCCUCAGAGGAUGUGAAGUAGACCUCCCCAGAAGUAUCUAUCCUUUUCAGAGAACACCAGCAGAUUAACAGUCACUUUGGACAUUGGAAGCUGCAGCAAACACCUCAAUAUAAUAAGUUGACACAGGAGCAAAGGGAAUGAAUGGUCCAACCCAUGGAGCAGUCAGGGAAGCUGGUCAGGGAAAAGGCAGGGGAGACACCCCUAAGGGGUCCCCAGGCUAUAUGUGAGGAAUUAAAGGGGUCUGGACUUCCCGUACUGUUGUUAGAAACUAAGGAAAAAAUACUACUAAUAAGAUAAAUGUCUGUGGUUGUCUUACAUCUUAGCUGGGUAUGUAGGAAUUUAGGUUAUAUGAAAAUUAUUUAGAAUUAAGCUUUCUUUCUUUCUUUCUUUUUUUCUUUUUCUUUCCUUUUUCUCCUGGUCACCCAUGGCAUAUAGAGUUCCCAGGUCAAGGGUAGGAUCUGACCUAUGCCACAGCUGCGGCAAUGCCAGAUCCUUUAACUCACUUGCCAGGCUGGGGAUUGAACCAUCCUAUUGUGCCACAGCAGGAACUCUAGAAGUAAGUUUUCUUAAGGAGUCACAAAACUUUUCUUUUUUGUUUUUUAGGGCUGCACCUGUGGCAUAUAGAGGUUCCCGGGCUAGGGGUUGAAUCAGAUCUGCAGCUGUUGGCCUACACCACAGCUGUAGCAAUGUGGAAUCAGAGCCACAUCUGUGACCUACGCCAUAGCUCAAGGCAACAUUGGAUCCUUAACCCACUGAGCGAGGCCAGGGAUUGAAUCUGCAUCCUCAUGGAUACUAGUAAGAUUCAUUUCUGCUGAGCCAUGAUGGGAAUUCCAACACAGGAUUAUUCCAACUCCCUCUCUUUCCCUCAGGGUUUGCUGACUUUACCUAUAAUGUCUUCUCAUGUUGCCUCACCCUAAAAGAAUUAGGACUAUCUAAGGCAGCAUUUAACUGGAAACCCAACUAAGGUUUGUGAGGCUGAACAAAUAAAGUUUUAUUUAAAUUUUUUUUUAAUUUUGAUUUUUCUUUUUUCUUUAAAUUUUGUUCUGAGGUAUUUAUUUUUGAAUAUGCAAAAAUUUUAUUUAUUUAAAUAAUUUUUAUUUUUUCCAUUAUAGUUGGUUUACAGUGCUGAGUAAUCACUUUUCUACUGUACAGCAAAGUGACCCAGUCACACAUGCAUAUAUACAUUCAUUUUCUCACAUUACCCUCCAUUAUUCUCCAUCACAAGUGACUAGAUAUAGUUCCCAGUGCUACACAGCAGGAUCUCAUAGCUAAUCCAUUCUGAAUGCAAUACUUUAUAUCUAUUAACCCCAGAUUCCCAGUCCAUCCCACUCCCACCCCCUUCCCCUUGGUAAUCACAAGUCUGUUCUCCAAGUCCAUGAGUUUCUUUUCUGUGGAAAGGUUAUUUGUGCCAUAUAUUAGAUUCCAGAUGUGUGAUAUCAUAUGGUAUUUGUCUUUCUCUUUCUGACUUCACUUAGUAUGAGAGUCUAUAGUUGUAUCCAUGUUGCUGCAAAUGGCAUUAUUUUGUUCUUUUUUAUGGCUGUGAGGUAUUCCAUUGUGUAUAUAUACCAUAUCUUCUUAAUCAAUUCAUCUUGUCAGUGGACAUUGAGGUUGUUUCCAUGUCUUGGCUAUUAUGAAUGGUGCUGCAAUGAACAUAUGGGUGCAUGUGUCUAUUUCAAGGAAAGUUUUGUCUGGAUAUAUGCCCAUUAUAUAAAUCUGGAAUUGUCAUUCUUCUGACCUGGUUUCAAGAGCUCAGUGAAGAGAAACACAAUUGUAGAAAUCAAGUCUGUUUUUGAGACAGGAAGAAGGUAGAAAUGAGAAGGUGGGCCAAGGACUCAGCAGGAGGAUUUUAUGUUAUAUCAAGAAACAAAAGCUCCAGAAGGCUUCCAGUUAUGUUUCCUUGGCCAGUACUCUAUUGAAUGCCCUUCUAGUUGCAAAGAAGGCUGGGAAAAUUCAUAAUUAACUUAUCUAUCUUUUAUACUAGAGGGAGUCAAGGGAGCAAUAGAUAAAAAAUGUUCUUAGUCCCCAUAGUGUCAACCCUAAACACCAAAAUACCCUUUAGAAACUCAGAAUUUUUCAGGAAAUUGAAAUUACACAGAAUUUUUUCAUGUCUGGUCAAUAAACAUUGAGUGGGAGACAAGUACAGUUUCUUAUCUUUUCAUUGAAAAUCACAUAUAAAAAGGUUCAUUUGUCUUCAAGUUUGAUUAUGUAUAUGAUAUAAAGUUAUGGUUAACCCAAGGUUUUUUACAAAAAAAAAACUGCAAAAAGUAAUUUUUUUUACAUUUAUUAAUUCUUGAUGUCUAAUAACUCACAUGAAGUAGAAAGAGUACUGGGUUUUUUUUAAUUUAAUUUUUCUGUUGAAGUACAGUUGAGUUACAAUGAUGUGUUAGUUUCUGGUGUAUAGCAAAGUGAUUUGGUUAUCAUAUACAUAUAUCCAUUCUUUUUCAGAUUCUUUUCUCAUAUGGAUUAUUACAAAAUAUUGAGUAGAGAUCCCUGUACUAUAAAAUAGGUCCUUGAUGAUUAUCUGUUUUAUAUAUAGUAGUGUAUAUAUGUUAAUCCCAAACUCCUACUUAUCCCUCUCUCCCCUACAUUUUCCCUUUGGUAACCAUAAUUUGUUUUUGAAGACUGUGAGUCUCUUUCUGUUUUGUAAAUAAGUUCAUUUGUAUCACUAUUUUAGAUUCCACAUAUAAAUGAUGUGAUGUUUGUCUUUGACUUCAUUUAGUUUGAUAAUCUCUAGAUCCAUCUAUGUUGCUGCAAAUGGCAUCAUUUCAUUCUUUUUUAUGGCUAAGUAAUAUUCCAUUGUAUAUUCCAUUGUAUGGUAUACAUACAUCAUAUCUUCUUUCCAUUUCUCUGUCAAUGGACAUCUAGGUUGCUUGGCUAUUGUAAGCAGUGCUUCAAUGAACACUGGGGUGCAUGCAUCUUUUCAAAUUGUGGUUUUCUGUGGAUAGAUGCCCAGGAGUGGGAUUGCUGGAUCAUAUGUUAGUUCUAUUUUUAGUUUUUUAAGAAGUUUCCAUACUGUUCUCCAUAGUGGUUAUACCAGUUUACAUUCUCACCAACAAUGUUGGAAGGUUCUGUUAUUAUUUGUAGACUUUUUGAUGAUGACCAUUCUGACAAUUGUAGUUUUGAUGUUUAUUUCUCUAAUAAUUAGCGAUGUUGAACAUCUUUUCAUUUGCUUUCUGGUCAUCUGUCUGUCUUCUAUGAGAGCACUAGAUUUUUAGUCUCCCAGGCUUACUUUCAAAUUUUGGCUUAAUCACUUUCUAGCUAUACAAGUGAAUGACUUAUUUAAUUUCUGAGAUAGCCAGUGUCCAAGAUGUUUCCUGUUGUUCUUACAUCCUGGCAUCCACAGACUUGAAUAGUCCCCUCUCAGGUAUAUUAGCAUUGGUCUAUGAAGUGAUGGAUGUUACUUCCAAGAUUAAGUUAUUAAAGAAUGUAGCUUUGAGAGUUCCUGCCAUGGCACAGUGGGUUAAGAAUCUGACUAUAUCAGCCUGGGUUUCUGAGCAGUUGUGGGUUCAAUCCCUGGCACUGGGAAGUGGGUUGGGGGAUCUGGCAUUGCCACAGCUGUAGUGCAGGUCACAACUGUGACUUGGAUUCAAUCCCUGGCCCAGGAACUCUAUAUACCUUCUGGUGGCAAAAAAAAAAAAAAAAAAAAAAAAAAAA
rnacentral:lncRNA from 1 species